rnacentral:rRNA from 1 species
AUUAAUAAGCGGAGGAAAAGAAACUAACCAGGAUUCCCUCAGUAACGGCGAGUGAAGCGGGAAGAGCCCAGCGCCGAAUCGCGCGUCCCCGGGACGCAGCGAACUGUGGCGUUUAGGACCAGCGCAUGCGCGUCGGUCUGGCGUCCGAGUCCUCCUGAUCGGGGCCUUGCCAGAGCGGGUGUCAGCCCUCUACGGCGCCGGACUUACGCGCCCGCGACGUCCUCGGAGUCGGGUUGUUUGAUAAUGCAGCCCAAAGCGGGUGGUAAACUCCAUCUAAGGCUAAAUACGGACGCGAGUCCGAUAGCGAACAAGUACCGUGAGGGAAAGUU